AAGUCGUAACAAGGUUUCCGUAGGUGAACCUGCGGAAGGAUCAUUAGUGAAUUGAAUAUGUUAGCGGACCUCUUCGGAGUCCCUAGCACCAAAUCAUAUCCAUAACACCUGUGAACUGUAAGGCUGUCUUGAAAACGAAAGUGAUUAGAGCGCCUGCCCAUUUUAUACAAACAUUAAAGUAACAAACGUAGUCUUAUUAUAAUCUAAUAAAA
rnacentral:misc_RNA from 1 species